AUAUUGUGAUAUAUAUAUAUAUAUAUAUUAGUAUGAAAAUGAAAUUCUUUCUGUUGAUGUGUUAUGUUGAGAGGGUUUUCAGAUAUUUUCAAGAAACUCCUUCUAAAGUUCAGGGCAUUAAACCCCAAUUGCCUUUGAAAGAUUUGUCCUGUUACCCAUCAUAUUGUUAGCUCUGUUGUUAAAUACAUUUGUUUUUGAAAUGUGAUCCCUAAACAAUGUUGAAACUAUUUUUUAAUUCCAGCACAAACUAAUCUGACACUAAAUAAAAAGACCAAAUCCUGAACAUAGAUUAAUUCAUUAAAAAAAAAAAAAAAAAAAAAAAAAAAACACAGAAAGAAAAGAUGCUGGAGAAAAAUAUGUAAAAAAUGUUGAAGCAAAAAAAAACAAACACACUUUUAUUUGAACAUUACCAAUGUUAUUAUUAUCAUUAUUUUAUAUUUUACACAUAUGUCAAAAAAAAAAGACAGAAAAAAGCAGGAAAAAACUUCAGAGAAAUCAUGACAUUAGAAAAACUUAAAAAAUUUGUGCGUGUAUGUGUUGGAGUAUGUGUGUGUGUGUGUGUGUGUGUGACCAGGUAACUAUGUCCAUAUUAUAGUUUCAUUCAAUUAUUUGAGUUAAUAUGAAAGAAGCAAACAGAAUACUUCAGUGUUCACCUUUAAUAUACAUCCAGUGAGAAUCCACAUGAAACUAUGCUAUGGACUUAAUAGAAGGAACCGAUACACACACAGAGACACCCUUCCCCACACACACAGGCUCUUUACCACAGGGCAUAUAUUGUACACUUCAAUGCUUACACAUGUAAACUACUCCAUAUAUAUGGUGUGUGUGUGUAAAGAUGUAUAUACAUAUACAGACGUAUAUAUAUAUAUAUAUAUAUAUAUAUAUAUGUAUUUAUAUAGUUAUAUGUAUAUACAUAUGUAUGUGUAUGUGUGUGUGUAUAUAUGAAUGUAGGUGUGUUUAUAUAUAUAUAUUAUAGCAGCGUAACAGUCCUGCGUAAAUGGUCUGAAAUCUGAAGAAGCUGUGAAAUUUUUUAAUUAUUUUUAACACAUGCAAAUUGGUUGUGCAAGGGAGAGAAGGGAAGGUGGGUGCUACAUUAUCAAUGUGAAGAAGAAGAAGAAGGGGUUAGAAGAAGCUGUGGUGUUUUAGAUGUGACCCCUUAACCGCAGUCUUGGAUUAGUGUGAAGGCCUUCGAAAUAUAUCUGUCAAUGUUAUACUCACUCUCUCAGUCUCUCUCACUCAUGUAUGCAUGUGUGUGUGUGUAUAUAUAUAUAUAUAUAUAUAUAUAUAUAUAUAUAUAUAUAUAUGUUUGUAUAUAUCUAUAUAUGUUUUUGGUUUUAUUCAAAAAUUGCAUUCUCUCACAUAAACUCGAUUAUGUCCAGCAUAAUAAAGUGUGUGUGAAUGUUGUGAGGGGAGGUGAACGAGGGGACAAAUGCUGAUGUGUACGAUGCAUAUGUAUAUAUAUACACACACACACACACAUAUAUAUAUAUGUGCAUACAUAUAUAUAUUUACUUAAAUUUUGUGUUAGAAACAGCUCAAUAAUGUAUAAGAUUAUCAGUAACCCAUACUUAAUGUAUGUCACUUGUUAAGCGCUUAUACCUGCUGUAUUUCGUCUCAGAGGGUCCCUUUAAGGUUGUAUAGCCAUGCCUACCAUUGAUGUAUACUGUGUUUUUUAACACUGUAUGUCUUUAAAUGCUGCAUCUACAUACAUUAAAUAUGUGAUAAUGGUAAUACACAUAUACAUACAUACAGACAUGCAUAUGUAUGUGUGUAUAUAUAUAUAUAUAUAUAUAUAUAUAUAUAUAGACAUAUAUGUAUAUAUGUAUGAUGGAUGUAUAUAUAUAUAUGUAUGUAUAGAUGUAUAUAUGUAUGUAUAGAUGUAUAUAUGUAUAGAGGUGUGUAUAUAUAUGUAUAGAUGUAUCAUCAUCAUGUAUAUACAUACAUAUAUAUACACAUACAUACUGAUACACAAUUGUGUGUGUAUAUAUAUGUAUGUGUAUAUAUAUGCAUAUGUAUGUAUGCAUAUAUAUAUAUAUAUAUAUAUAUAAAUAUAUAUAUAUAGCAUGUGCAUAUAUGUGUUUAUGUGUAUAUAUGAAAUAUAUAGCACUGUCUUGUUCAAACAUAUGCAUUUUUGCUGAUAUGUAUGCAUAUAUGUAUGGGUAUGUAUAUAACAUGUGCAAUAAAAAUUAUAUAUAUCUAUAUAUAACCUACAUGUAUAUAUACUUUUUAUAAUUGUAUGUAUGUAUAAAUAAAUGAAUAAGCGACAAAGAUGAUCACAUGACUUUUUCCUGGUUCCAUUAAAUCUUUUAAUCUGUUAA